rnacentral:tRNA from 1 species
GUGGGUAUAGCUCAGUUGGUUAGAGCGCCAGGUUGUGGCCCUGGAGGUCAUGGGUUCAAAUCCCAUUAUUCACCCCA